rnacentral:rRNA from 1 species
UGGCGGCCGUAGCGCGGUGGUCCCACCUGACCCCAUGCCGAACUCAGAAGUGAAACGCCGUAGCGCCGAUGGUAGUGUGGGGGCUCCCCAUGUGAGAGUAGGGAACCGCCAGGUU